UGGGGAAUAUUGGACAAUGGGGGGAACCCUGAUCCAGCCAUGCCGCGUGUGUGAAGAAUGCCUUAUGGUUGUAAAGCACUUUAAGCGAGGAGGAGGGUACUGGUAUUAAUACUACCAGGUACUGGACGUUACUCGCAGAAUAAGCACCGGCUAACUCUGUGCCAGCAGCCGCGGUAAUACAGAGGGUGCGAGCGUUAAUCGGAUUUACUGGGCGUAAAGCGCGCGUAGGUGGUUCGUUAAGUUGAAUGUGAAAGCCCCGGGCUCAACCUGGGAAAUGCAUCCAAAACUGGCGAGCUAGAGGAGGGCAGAGGGUGGUGGAAUGUCCUGUGGAGCGGUGAAAUGCGUAGAUAUAGGAAGGAACACAAGUGGCGAAGGCGACCACCUGGGGUCAUACUGACACUGAGGUGCGAAAGCGUGGGGAGCAAACAGG
rnacentral:rRNA from 1 species